CAGAUCCAAUUUUCUGCCACCGAAUACAUUAGCAUGGGAUAAUGGAAUAGGACCCUGUCCUCCUAUUUUCAGUUGGUUUUGGCAGCGCGAGGACUAGGGUAAUGAUUAAUAGGGAUAGUUGGGGGCAUUAAUAUUUAAUUGUCAGAGGUGAAAUUCUUGGAUUUAUGAAAGAUUAACUUCUGCGAAAGCAUCUGCCAAGGAUGUUUUCAUUAAUCAAGAACGAAAGUUAGGGGAUCGAAGACGAUCAGAUACCGUCGUAGUCUUAACCAUAAACGAUGCCGACCAGCGAUUAGGAGACGUUGAAUACAAAACACCACCAUCGGCGCGGUCGUCCUUGGCGUCUGUCCCUUUCAACGGGGGCAGGCGCGAGGGCGGUUUAGCCCGGCUGGCACCGGUGAAUGACUCCCCUAGCAGCUUGUGAGAAAUCAUA
rnacentral:rRNA from 1 species